GUCACCAUUUUCGGCACAAUCUUAUCGUUGCCAUGCUACCACUGAUGUUAAUUUGAAGUCCAGCGAAUAUGGUAGACAGAAUUAGCAGGUUAUCAGAUGAAGUCCUCUGUCACAUUCUCUUCUUUCUCUCAACUGAACAAGCUGUUGCCACAAGUGUUCUCUCAAAGAGAUGGAGGCCCCUCUGGAUCUCAGUCCCCGUUCUCGACUACGACGACGAAAUCUAUCUCAGAAACAACAAACACCCUUCUUGCUUUGAAAGGUUCGUAUACGCAACCAUUCUACCGAGAAAUCCGCAACAACCCAUCACAAGGUUCCGCCUCAAAUACGGGGUUUCUGGUUCUGAACUUUCCGAUACCGAUGUCAGUCAUGGUCGUUCGAACGCUGAUAUCAAUGUUUGGGUAAACACUGUUAUACGACGCGGGAUUCAGAACCUUGACAUCCAGAUACAUCCUCAAAAUUAUAUAAUUAGUUUGAGCAGCUGCAUUUUCAGUUGCCAAACCCUUGUUGUUCUCAAGUUAACAGGGUUAUCUCUCAAAGCUUUUUCUUCCGUUGAGCUUCCCUCACUCAAAUCCCUAUAUUUGGAACAUAUUCAAUUUGUAGAUUGUCGUUAUCUUGUUUUGCUUCUUUUCGGGUGUCCAAUGCUUGAGGAUUUGCAAGCUGAUUGGCUAGAUUAUGCUCUUGACGAGUAUGAUUAUGUGAAACAGUUUAAAAGCUUACCCAAGUUGGUCAGGGCAAAUCUACGUCAUGUCGGUUUGGAUAAUACUAAUAUUCUUCUGAAUGCAAUAUGUAAUGUGGAGUUUUUGAGCAUUAGGCAGAUUCGAUUGGUUGAUGAGAUUCCUGAAUUUCUUCUCCCUCUACUUAGAAAUUCAUACCUGCCAUUCAGUGCUUUUGAUGCUCAAGAAUUGCCCCAAGCUUCAGAGUUUUAAACUUGAUUUGCGUGAAUUUUCUGAGGAUGAAGAUGUUCCACCUUACUCUCAUUUUGUUGUUCCUGAAUGCCUUACAUCACAUCUUCAGAAGUGCUAUCUCAAGUAUUACCUAGGCACAAAAAGUGAACUACAAUUCGCAAAAUACAUCAUGCAGAACUCAACAUCUUUACAGUCCAUGAGAAUUUAUAGUCUUUCACCUAAUCCGUUUGAAGCGCUAAAGGAGUUAGCUUUUUGCCCAAGGAAGUCUACAUCAUGUGAACUUUCAUUUAAUUUAUAUGGUGGCCAGUAGCUGCAAACUCUUCCUAGACGACAACAUGUGUCAUUUCUUAAUGAUGCUGUCUCAUGCUAUCCAUGUGGGCUGAUCGUGGAUACUGAACUACUUCUUGUAGACUCUCUUUGCUGGUUCUGGUUAUCCCUGCUUCCAGCUAAUAUUGCUUUGCUGUUAUUACUGAAUUGUUAUUGGCUGUAAAGGAAGGGUCUUGCACUUAGCAUGGGAGCUGAUGUGACCAAACAGAAUGUCCAAGAUAAGUAGGAGAGCCCUGUAGUUCCAUAAAGUUGUAUUAUUGUUUUUUUUUCUCAGUAUUAAAAUCAAUUAAUUAAAAUAUCUUGGUUGCUGUAGAACAAAUAAAUUAUGCGCUGUAAUCAAAUUAGCAAAGCUACACCAGUUGGCUUAGAGAGAUUAAUAUAUCCAUGUUUCAACGGUACUUUUACAACCUUAAUUUCUUGAGAGCAGUUGGAAUUGAUAAGACCUAUAUUUCUUUUACAGGUUCUGCAUUAAGCUAACUCCAGAAGCACCUGGAAGCAAUGACAUCCAACAUUCUAUUGCUUACAAAAAAAAGAGCAUAUUGUAUAUAGUUACCAAACAGCACCAGGAUCCUUUCAAGCAAGCAAAUACGAGCUGCAAAAUUUCUAACCAAUAAUUUCUUAGUUCUAGCCACUUCUGACGAAAACCUGCAAAGUUUUUGAGGUUUGGGUUACAGCAUUUUCUAAAUCCAAUUUUUUAAAGGUGAGCAGAACUGAUUCAGAGAUGAUCUUAUAUUAUCUUAUUAAAUGUGACUUCUUUCUUUUAGCUUAAAAUACAAAGGAGUUGCCAUCGAAUAUUGGUGAAUAUUAUGAAUACGUAUUUAUGUAUUGUUGUACAUUGCGCAAAUCAAAAGGCUCGAACAUGUGUCAAUGGAUAGUAAAUACUGUCUUCUUCUGAUUUUGGCAAGAAAAUGCAAUGUGUUUGUCUUUCUAAUUAUGGCUGCAGGCGUGUUAUUUUAUUUUUGUCUGUGUCUAACAAGGAUGACUAAAAUUAAAAUUAGAUGAAGGCAUCAGAUUUAAUUAGCUUCUUUCAAAUUGUUUGUUUAGAUUAUCAAUUUUCCAUUUCUUAUUAUUUUGAUUUUCUUGUUCUCGCUAAUUGGUGAAGGUUUCAGGUUUGGUUGUUUCGAUUAUCUAGACCAGCUAUGAACUUGUUGUUUAUCAUUGUCAUUGUAAUUGUUCAUGCUUUUCUUUCUAUUGUUGGUAUUCUAGUGUCCCUGUUCCUCUGUUAGUUCUAGUUUCAGUGAUGAACUGAUGAUCAAUGCAAUAGAGGGUUCCUUGCACACAUAUAGAGGCUAUCAUUUCACAAUAUGUGAGAGACCCACAAAAAAUUGGGUAGAUAGCCCAAUUGCUUCAGAAAUUGGGUAGAUAGCCCAAACAAAAAUAAAAAUCCUCCAUGGAAUGACUUUGGCACCAUAUUUUAGGUCCCAAAUUUGUUUCCAUAUACCAUAUUUAAUUUUGGGAAGAGCAAGGGUCCAAUGUAUGUAUAUAUUGGGCUGUCACAAUUUCUCUCUGUAUGGUUCAAUUUGGUAUGUUUAGUUUUAGGUCAUUUGAUGAGUCAUAUUGUGCCUUAGGGGAGAAACAGGGAUAAUAAUGGAAAUGAAGAGAGAGAAGGGCAAUAAGUUAUGGAAUGAGGAAAGUAUUUGGAGUGAUAGACCAGGAACUCUUGAAUAAUUUGGGUUAUCUACAUUUUGUUUUUUUGUUAUUACUACCAGAUAUAUAUUCUAGUUCUGAAACUAAGGUCACGAGGAGGGAAAAUAAGAAAUGCAAACACUUAUAAUAAUAUCUGCUUCCAAAGUUAGUUAUGUUAAUAUUACAUAUCAGUAAUCUAUAUGUUCCUUUGGGAAUCAAUGUUGUCUUGACUUCUUGGUAAUGACCAUGCAAAUGAUGAAAGAUAGUUUCCUCUCAGACCUUCAAAUAGUUAUUCAUGUGCACUCCAAAAAGAUAAUUCAUUAUAUAUGUCAUUAAUUGUAUCACAGGUAAUAUUGUAUUGAACUUGUGCUUUUGUUACGAGGUGAGGUGUUUGAGUUUGAUGGAUGAAUUGAGGUUAAUGCAGCCACUUUAUAGAGUGGGCAGGAUCAGGCGUGCAGUUUGAAUAGAGAUAUAUGUUUCUGUUAUAUGCACUGCCCUGACAGAACCAUCCCAAAGACCAGGUGUGCAGUUUGAAAAAAUAUAAUACACUACCAGGAAAUUCUAACAAUUUCAUAAUUUGAGGACAAAAUAAUAUAACUUCUCAAGUACCCUUAAAGCAACAUAAAUUUCCAAGCUCAUUUCCAACUUUAUUUCUGUGCAUUCCAAAUAAAAAUGUUCCUAAAUUGUUCUCUUGUUUUCAGGUCAUUGUGCGUUGAUUAAUUCCCUUUUACUUUUGGUAUGUUUUGUAUUUUUCUACUUAAAUAAUUCUAUGUGUGGUUCAAUCCUGAUAUUUUCAUAAUCUCAUAAUUGAUGUAGUUUCUUAUCCUUUUACUGUUGGUCUGCAUUUCUUCUAUGGAGUUUGGCAGAGGGCCAGGACACUUCCACACCAAUCAGCUCUACUUAAGAAAACUUAUUCUAUGAUGCUGAUUGUGUAAAUAUGUAAUGGAACUAUUUUAUCAAAUAUUGUAAGAAAUUGUGAGCAAUGAGUUAAGGUCCAUAUGUUAUGUAUACUUACAUUAUUAGCCAUAUUCUUCAAGUGUAAUUGAUAGCAGAGAAAUGGAUUUGCUUUGA